rnacentral:rRNA from 1 species
AUUGAACGCUGGCGGCAUGCCUUACACAUGCCAGUCGAACGGCAGCACGGGUGCUUGCACCUGGUGGCGAGUGGCGAACGGGUGAGUAAUACAUCGGAACAUGUCCUGUAGUGGGGGAUAGCCCGGCGAAAGCCGGAUUAAUACCGCAUACGAUCUACGGAUGACAGCGGGGGACCUUCGGGCCUCGCGCUAUAGGGUUGGCCGAUGGCUGAUUAGCUAGUUGGUGGGGUAAAGGCCUACCAAGGCGUCGAUCAGUAGCUGGUCUGAGAGGACGACCAGCCACACUGGGACUGAGACACGGCCCAGACUCCUACGGGAGGCAGCAGUGGGGAAUUUUGGACAAUGGGCGAAAGCCUGAUCCAGCAAUGCCGCGUAUGUGAAGAAGGCCUUCGGGUUGUAAAGCACUUUUGUCCGGAAAGAAAUCCUUGGCCCUAAUACGGUCGGGGGAUGACGGUACCGGAAGAAUAAGCACCGGCUAACUACGUG